rnacentral:lncRNA from 1 species
CAUGUAGAGUACUAUUUGACAGGUAGCCAGACAGAAGGAAACUAAAAUUUCGCUUAUUAUCGAAACGGGAAAUAAUUAAGAAACAAUCACUUCUUAAUUCCGCUGAAAUACAGUACAGUAUGUGCACCGGCAUCCACCUGCAUCACAAUCACCAACCGCGCCAGGGCCGACGUUGGUUUGACAGUUGUGAAGACACGUCUUGGGGUUACACGGCCCAAGGAUGACAGGGGUCUGAUGGCAGUCUUCAGGGAUUAGCGAGC